CCAUCACACUUGCAAUUUCUGGGACUUUUUUUUUCACUAGGAAUCAAACUCAAGACUUUGUGCUUGCCAGGCAGGUUCUUGUACUGCUGAUCUAUAUCCCUGGUUCUGGGACAGUUCUUGUUAAUGUGUUUUUCACCUGGUUAUAGGUAGGGAGCCAUGCGACAGCCCCAUUGCUGCCUCCCUGUCUCUCUCCUAAGGGCAUAAUGCGUCUGCCUACAUUAACCAUAAUCCUCUCCUGCUUACGUCACAUACCCAGACGUGACGAUGACCCUGUUGUAUUCAUCCCCGUAGUCUCUUCCUGAACCACCAGCCCGCCCUUGGCCUAUAAAAGCUGUAAUCACUUCUGGAAUAAACGGGGCUUGAUUGGAUUCUCUCGACUUGCCUCAGUCUCUCUGUCUGUCUCCCCCAGGUGUUUAUUUAAUCCCUGUUCCCCCUCCAGGUACACCCCACGGAUUGAUCCGUGGGCUGGAUGAAGUGGCGCCCAGCAUGGGGGCUCCUGGCACGGGGGAGUCAACGAGGGAGCCGUUCAAAAAAGCCGGCUGAAAAUGAAAGCAAAUUGAACCAAAGACCGCAGCGAAAAGUAAAAACAAACUAAAUCAAAGACUAAGGCUAAAAGCAAAAGUACAUUAAAUUAAGGAUCGAGGCCUGCGCGGACAACUGCCCAACAUCCCGCCCGAGUCACAGUGAGUGAACGGCGACCCAUUCCCUUUCCCGGACAUGGAUCAAGCUUUGAACGAACACAAAUUGUUCAUGGGAGGCCUUAUAAAGGCAUUCAAGACAAGAGGGAUGACACAACUCCUCGAAACCUUAUGCUGCCUACUCAGCCUUCUCCUCAGAUCAUACCACACCCAUGGUGGAUUUAGACCCCUGCCAAACAGACUACAACUGCUGACAGCCAUGCACAGAACCCCCUGUGAGUGUGGAAGAGGCUCUUCUAGGUCUGGAGGAACAUAAAUCAGCCAAAUAGACUGCAUCUGGUGUUAUGCGAGGCAAGCUCCAAGAAAUAGAAGAAUGACUUCAACAGCAACAACAACAAAUGGCUGCCAACCCCUUCUCCUCGAUGUGUGUGUUGGGGGGAACUUUUCCCUUACCUAGCUCCCCUUUUGAGUCCCCUAGCUGCCCUAUUGCUUCUCCUUUCUGUGAGUCCUUGUAUUUUUCAGAGGAUUAUGACGCUCAUUAAUAACCAGAUAGACACGUUUACAGCAAAGCCCAUUUAGAUACACUAUCAUCAGCUGGAGAUGGCAGAUCAACCAACCUACCGGGAAGGAAUUCCCACGAAUGGCCCAUAUGACGAUGCGGCCUAACUGCCAUUGGGCAAUGGACAGGCAGUCAGAGACGGGCAACUAGGACAUGCAUGUUAACUCCAUCGGCCGCCUAAGGCAGGCGCAGGACCAACUGCUGUCCUGCAAGCCCAUGACGGGUAAGGCCUGGUUGGGUUCAUGUAAUGAGGUCCUUGACCUAAGACAGAUGCUGUCCUCCCAGGGCCUGCCAUACUCCUAAUUAAAUAAUGUAGAAAGGGAGGAGAUAUAGGGAGCCGUGCGAGAGCACCAUUGCUGCCUCCCUGUCUCUAUCUCCUAUGGGCACAAUGCAUCUGCCUAUAUUAACCAUAAUCCUCUCCUGCUUACAUCACAUACCUGGAUGUGACAAUGAUCCUGUUGUAUUCAUCCCUGUAGUCUCUUCCUGUCCCUCCAGCCUGCCCUUGGCCUAUAAAAGAUGUAAUCACUUCUGGAAUAAAUGGGGCUUGAUUGGAUUCUCUUGA